rnacentral:rRNA from 1 species
AUGGUGUACCAUAGCUUUGAUCAUGCGGUGGACAACCCUCACAACUACUACCCCUCUGAGUUCCUUAACACAUUGACCCCUAAUGGGCUUCCCCCACAUGUUUUGAAGCUCAAAAUUAAUUGCCCAGUUAUAUUACUCAGAAACAUUGACCCUGCAAACGGACUUCGCAAUGGCACGAGGCUGGUGGUUCGAGGAUUCCAAAGGAAUGUCAUCGAUGCAGAGAUUGUGUUGGGCCAACAUGUUGGAAAGAGGAUAUUCUUGUCAAGGAUCCCCCUUUGUCCCUUUGAUGAAGAGAUGUUCCCUUCUCAGUACAAGAGAAGCAAUUUCAUUAGGCUCAUCUUCGCCAUGACAAUUAACAAGGCAUAGGGGUAGACUAUACCGAACGCGGGUAUUUACAUGCCCGAGCCGGUGUUCUCCCACGAGCAAUUGUAUGUUGCGCUAUCUAGAUCCACAGCUAGAACGAACAUCAAGAUUCUUGUCAUUUCGGAUGCUGGUAAUAAGAAAAGGAGCUCAGAUGCAAAAACAAGCUCUGGUUGUCAUAUUGGUACGUACAGGAAGAACAUCGUAUAUAGAGAGAUCCUUACAUCAUAG